UACGUAGGGACCAAGCGUUGUUCGGAUUUACUGGGCGUAAAGGGCGCGUAGGCGGCAAUUCAAGUCAGCUGUGAAAUCUCCGGGCUUAACUCGGAACGGUCAGCUGAUACUGCUUUGCUAGAGUGCAGAAGGGGCAAUCGGAAUUCUUGGUGUAGCGGUGAAAUGCGCAGAUAUCAGGAGGAACACCGGUGGCGAAGGCGGUUCUCUGGGCAUGAUCUGACGCUGAGGAGCGAAAGUGUGGGGAGCGAACAGG
rnacentral:rRNA from 1 species